rnacentral:rRNA from 1 species
GACAGAGGUGCCGAGCGUUAGGCGGAAUCACUGGGCUUAAAGCGUGUGUAGGCGGGUCGUUAAGUGCCUUGUGAAAUCCCACAGCUCACCUGUGGAACUGCUUGGCAUACUGGCGAUCUUGAGCCACUUAGGGGCAACCGGAACAAACGGUGGAGCGGUGAAAUGCGUAGAGAUCGGAAAGAACACCAACGGCGAAAGCACUCUGCUGGGCCGACACUGACACUGAGAGACGAAAGCUAGGGGAGCGAAUGGG